GUGGGGAAUAUUGGACAAUGGGCGAAAGCCUGAUCCAGCCAUGCCGCGUGAGUGAUGAAGGCCUUAGGGUUGUAAAGCUCUUUCAGUAGGGAAGAUAAUGACGGUACCUACAGAAGAAGCCCCGGCUAACUUCGUGCCAGCAGCCGCGGUAAUACGAAGGGGGCUAGCGUUGUUCGGAUUUACUGGGCGUAAAGCGCACGUAGGCGGAUCGUUAAGUCGGGGGUGAAAUCCUGGAGCUCAACUCCAGAACUGCCUUCGAUACUGGCGAUCUUGAGUCCGGAAGAGGUGAGUGGAACUCCUAGUGUAGAGGUGGAAUUCGUAGAUAUUAGGAAGAACACCAGUGGCGAAGGCGGCUCACUGGUCCGGUACUGACGCUGAGGUGCGAAAGCGUGGGGAGCAAACAGGAUUAGAAACCCCAGUAGUCC
rnacentral:rRNA from 1 species